GAAAGGUUCCAUGUGAACAGCAGUUGGACAUGGGUUAGUCGAUCCUAAGAGAUGGGGAAGCCUUGUAUCAAGGGUGCACUCUGCACGAGCAUCGAAAGGGAAUCGGGUUAAUAUUCCCGAACCGGGACAUGGCGGCGGGCGGCAACGUUAGGAAAUCCGGAGACGUCGUCGGGGGCCCCGGGAAGAGUUAUCUUUUCUUUUUAACAGCUUGCCCACCCUGGAAUCGGUUCACCCGGAGAUAGGGUCCAGCAGCUGGAAGAGCACCGC
rnacentral:rRNA from 1 species